UUAAAUGAGACAACUCAAUGAGUGUACAGUUACUGUAGCUACAGUAACUGUACACUCAUUGAGUUGUCUCAUUU
rnacentral:pre_miRNA from 1 species